UUUCUGCCUGCCUGCUGCCAUGAGAAGAGAAACCCCAAGUAGUCCUGAAAUGAGAGACACAUGGAGCAGACAGAAACCUGACCUAGAUCUAGGAAAAAGCCAGCAGAGCUGACCACAGACCCCAAGCAAGCAUCCUGCCUCUUUAGGAGGGAAGAGGAGAUAAAAAUUAGAAUAGGCAGUACAAGAUUAAUUCGACUGGAAGAAGAAAAAGGUUCCUUUAGGUUGGAGUCAAAAUGGG